rnacentral:rRNA from 1 species
GGGUCAGUAGGUUGGUCGUGCCACCGGUACGUACUGGUCUCACUGAUUCCUCCUUCCUGAAUAACCGUAAUGCCAUUAAUUUGGUGUUGCGGGGAAACAGGACUGUUACUUUGAAAAAAUUAGAGUGUUUAAAGCAAGCUAACGCUUGAAUACAUUAGCAUGGAAUAAUGAAAUAGGACGAUCGAUCCUAUUUUUUUGGUUUCUAGGAUUGACGUA